rnacentral:rRNA from 1 species
UUAGGAAUUUUCGACAAUGGGGGGAACCCUGAUCGAGCGACACUGCGUGAGGGAUGAAGGCCUUAGGGUUGUAAACUUCUAAUAGAGGGACGAUGGUGACGGUACCUCUUGAUUAGCACCGGCUAACUCCGUGCCAGCAGCCGCGGUAAUACGGAGGGUGCGAGCGUUAUCCGGAAUCACUGGGCGUAAAGGGCGCGUAGGCGGUUUGUUAAGUCUGAUGUUAAAGACUGGGGCUCAACCCCGGCAUGGCGUUGGAUACUGGCAGGCUUGACGGUUGGAGAGGCGAGUGGAAUUGCCAGUGUAGCGGUGGAAUGCGUAGAUACUGGUAGGAACACCUAUUGCGAAGGCAGCUCGCUGGACAAUUCGUGACGCUGAGGCGCGAAAGUGUGGGGAGCAAACC